rnacentral:rRNA from 1 species
AUUGAACGCUGGCGGCAGGCCUAACACAUGCAAGUUGAGCGGAAGAAGGGAGCUUGCUCCUGGAUUCAUCGGCGGACGGGUGAGUAAUGCCUAGGAAUCUGCCUGGUAGCGGGGGAUAACGUCCGGAAACGGGAGCUAAUACCGCAUACGUCCUGAGGGAGAAAGUGGGGGAUCUUCGGACCUCACGCUUUCAGGUGAGCCUAGGUCCGAUUAGCUAGUUGGUGGUGUAAAUGCCCACCAAGGCGACGAUACGUAACUGGUCUGAGAGGAUGAUCAGUCACACUGGAAAAUAGACACGGUUCAGACUCCUACCAGGGGCAACAGUGCGGAAUAUUGCAGCAUGGGCGAAAGACUGAUCCAGGUAAGCCGUCGGUAGGAAGAAGGUCUUAGGAUUGUAAAGCACUAUAAGUUGGGAGGAAGGACAGUAAGUUUAUACCUGACGGUCAUGACGUUACCAACAGAAUAAGCACCGGCUAACUUCGUG